GAGAUCGAUUGUCUCUUAUGCUAAACAUGUUUUUCUAACACGCUUAACUUGCAUUUCAGCUACAUUCUACAGCGAUGUAUGUCACAAUCUGUAUCGCUCUUGUAGCCCUGGUGGGAUCAACCUGUGCUCAAAAUGGAUUCUGCUUGAAUCAAGGGCAGACUUGCAGUUUGGCAGGAACUAGAAGUUGUUGUGCGGGACUCUCCUGUCAGAGUUCUGUUGGAAACACACGAAGAUGUCAGCGAAACAUCAAUGGAGGAAAUGUGUGUCGAAGAUAUGGCCAAGAUUGCUGGAGGACUGGAACCCAGGAGAUGAGAUGCUGUAACAACAUGAGGUGUGACUACA